GAUGAACGCUGGCGGCGUGCUUAACACAUGCAAGUCGAACGAUGAAGCCCAGCUUGCUGGGUGGAUUAGUGGCGAACGGGUGAGUAACACGUGAGUAACCUGCCCUUAACUCUGGGAUAAGCCUGGGAAACUGGGUCUAAUACCGGAUAGGAGCGUCCACCGCAUGGUGGGUGUUGGAAAGAUUUAUCGGUUUUGGAUGGACUCGCGGCCUAUCAGCUUGUUGGUGAGGUAAUGGCUCACCAAGGCGACGACGGGUAGCCGGCCUGAGAGGGUGACCGGCCACACGGGGACUGAGACACGGCCCAGACUCCUACGGGAGGCAGCAGUGGGGAAUAUUGCACAAUGGGCGCAAGCCUGAUGCAGCGACGCCGCGUGAGGGAUGACGGCCUUCGGGUUGUAAACCUCUUUCAGUAGGGAAGAAGCGAAAGUGACGGUACCUGCAGAAGAAGCACCGGCUAACUACGU
rnacentral:rRNA from 1 species